GACGAACGCUGGCGGCGCGCCUAACACAUGCAAGUCGAACGAGAGAUGAGGAGCUUGCUCUUCAGAUCGAGUGGCGAACGGGUGAGUAACGCGUGAGGAACCUGCCUCAAAGAGGGGGACAACAGUUGGAAACGACUGCUAAUACCGCAUAAGCCCACGGCUCGGCAUCGAGCAGAGGGAAAAGGAGUGAUCCGCUUUGAGAUGGCCUCGCGUCCGAUUAGCUAGUUGGUGAGGUAACGGCCCACCAAGGCGACGAUCGGUAGCCGGACUGAGAGGUUGAACGGCCACAUUGGGACUGAGACACGGCCCAGACUCCUACGGGAGGCAGCAGUGGGGAAUAUUGCACAAUGGGGGAAACCCUGAUGCAGCGACGCCGCGUGGAGGAAGAAGGUCUUCGGAUUGUAAACUCCUGUUGUUGAGGAAGAUAAUGACGGUACUCAACAAGGAAGUGACGGCUAACUACGUGCCAGCAGCCGCAGUAA
rnacentral:rRNA from 1 species